AUUGAACGCUGGCGGCAUGCUUUACACAUGCAAGUCGAACGGCAGCGCGGGCUUCGGCCUGGCGGCGAGUGGCGAACGGGUGAGUAAUACAUCGGAACGUGCCCAGUAGUGGGGGAUAGCUCGGCGAAAGCCGGAUUAAUACCGCAUACGACCUGAGGGUGAAAGCGGGGGAUCUUCGGACCUCGCGCUAUUGGAGCGGCCGAUGGCAGAUUAGCUAGUUGGUGGGGUAAAGGCCUACCAAGGCGACGAUCUGUAGCUGGUCUGAGAGGACGACCAGCAACACUGGGACUGAGGCACGGCCCAGACUCCUACGGGAGGCAGCAGUGGGGAAUUUUGGACAAUGGGCGAAAGCCUGAUCCAGCAAUGCCGCGUGUGUGAUGAAGGCCUUCGGGUUGUAAAGCACUUUUGGCGGGAACGAAAAGGACUGUGCCAAUACCACGGUUCGAUGACGGUACCCGCAGAAUAAGCACCGGCUAACUACGUG
rnacentral:rRNA from 1 species